AUCAAGUGCAAAUUAAUGAUCAAUACUUUUUGAUCAGUUGAAUCAUUUUACUUAUUUUACACUCAUCGAACUUGUAAGAACUCGAGGUAGCUUAUAUUUUGACACAAUGUAUAGGCUGAGAGUGCACUUCUGGCUCUCGACUGUUGUGGCGAUGUUUUGGGAUCUGAACGCAUCAGGGUAAGUCCUUCAAAGACACCAUUGAGGCCCCGAGUUCCCUAACCGGGAAUGUAGUAAAAUCGAUGGCUCCAGACCAAAAUCUGAAAGGAAGUUGAAGUGAAUUCUCUUGGAAGAUAAUGAUCUUGAAGUGAUUCAUAUCUCAACUCUUUUACCAAUUGUUUCCUUGAUAUUUUUCCUGGCAACAGUAACUUUUUUCUUUCAACUGAACACAACUCUUUGACCUGUUAAAGUUUUAUUGAGAGGUGCUCAUCUUAGGCACUUUUUACUAUGAUUAAUCAUCGAUGCUAGCUUUGGUA